GCGGAUGUAGUUUAGUGGCAGAACGCAUGGUUGUGGUCCGUGUGGCGCGAGUUCGAUUCUCGCCUUCCGCC
rnacentral:tRNA from 1 species